rnacentral:misc_RNA from 1 species
GAAAUGCGAUAAGUAAUGUGAAUUGCAGAAUUCAGUGAAUCAUCGAAUCUUUGAACGCACAUUGCGCCCGCCAGUAUUCUGGCGGGCAUGCCUGUCCUAGCGUCAUUUCAACCAUCAAGCCCCCGGGCUUGUGUUGGGGACCUGCGGCUGCCCGCAGGCCCUGAAAACCAGUGGCGGGCUCGCUGUCACACCGAGCGUAGUAGCAAUCACCUCGCUCAGGGCGUGCUGCGGGUUCCGGCCGUUAAACAGCCUUACAAAACCCAAGGUUGACCUCGGAUCAGGUAGGAAGACCCGCUGAACUUAAGC